AGGACGAACGCUGGCGGUGUGCUUAACACAUGCAAGUCAAGGGGGCCCAGCAAUGGGCAACCGGCGAACGGGUGCGUAACACGUGAGCAACCUACCGAACUGUGGGGGAUAGCCGGCCUAACGGCCGAGUAAUACCGCAUACGCUCUCAGAGAGGCAUUUCUUUGAGAGGAAACCUACGGGACAGAUCGAGGGGCUCGCGGCCUAUCAGCUAGUUGGCGAGGUAACGGCUCACCAAGGCAACGACGGGUAGCUGGUCUGAGAGGAUGGCCAGCCACAUUGGGACUGAG
rnacentral:rRNA from 1 species